GGAGAGAGGGGAGAUGCAGGGCAGACAGGGACCACGGCGAGGCUCAGGUGCAGGGCCCGGGGGCCUGAAGCGGUGUCCUGUCCCUCAGCACGGGGCCUGCAGUGCUCUCGGUACCACGGGGCUGACUGUUUAGACAGCCAAGGACUCGCAACUCCUGCGUUCCGGUGCCGCAGCUUGCAUGAAAGCAAAAAUUCCACUUUCCAAGACCAAUACACGGGCUGCCACUCAGCACUGCCAUGGGCCGGCCGGAGGGGGAGGAGGGGCGUGCACAGGGCCAGAGAGGCGCAGGACUGGGGCCUGCCGGGAAGGAAGAGCCCAGGAAGGGUGGGGCUGGGGACACGGACAGGGCGGGCUGAGAAGCCAGGGGCAAGGUUUCGGCGUUGCUGCAGGACAAGCGAGGUCCACAGAAAGGCAAGAGCGCUGGGUGUGUGGGGCUCAGGGCAGGGAGGGGAGGAGGGGGAACACAAGGCCGACCGCCUACGGCCCAGGACAGGAGAACAGGCCGGGAACCUCGGAGACAGGCAGAGGUGCUUUGCGUCUGGUGUGGACGGCCCUUCACAGUCAGGCCAGUGGCCAAGGGGCGCCGGGCACCAGAACCCAAGCUGCUGUGCCCGCAUGGCCACUCGGGCAGGCUCCGCCCCAUCUCGGUCCCCUCCCCAGCCCAACGCCCACCUCAGACCCUGCACAAGGCUCCGCCUCCUGCCUCUCAGCCCCACCCAGCCCUGGAAGCCCAUCUGUGCAGUCGGACCGUCAUGCUCAGGGUUCCCGUGAAGCAACAAAUAAAAAGGUCCUGGGUUUCUGUCUUCCUGAUGGCCCAGCGAAGAGGACGAAACUCACCACAGGAAGCGCUGGCUGUUCUUCGAGUCCGUUCCUGAAACAGUCCCAUGCAUGAGGAUCUUGCAGCCUAGGCUGGACUAUGGACAGCAACUCCCACAGCGGCACCAGAGUGAGAAUGUUACCAAUCUCCUCGCUCCAUUAAAGCAUGCGGCUCCCCUUCA